GGGUUGGUGGUAUAAUGGCUACCGCUUCUGCUUCAUAAGCAGAAGGUCAUGGGAUCAAUCCCAGGUCCGUUCCU
rnacentral:tRNA from 1 species